GACGAACGCUGGCGGCGUGCUUAACACAUGCAAGUCGAACGGAAAGGCCCUGCUUGCAGGGUACUCGAGUGGCCAACGGGUGAGUAACUCGUGGGUGAUCUGCCCUGCACUUCGGGAUAAGCCUGGGAAACUGGGUCUAAUACCGGCUAGGUGCCAUUUUUAGUGUGAUGGUUGGAAAGUUUUUUCGGUUUAGGAUGAGCUCGCGGCCUAUCAGCUUGUUGGUGGGGUGAUGGCCUACCAAGGCGGCGACGGGUAGCCGGCCUGAGAGGGUGGACGGCCACAUUGGGACUGAGAGACGGCACAGACUCCUACGGGAGGCAGAAGUGGGGAAUACUGCACAAUGAGCGCAAGCCUGAUGCAGAGACGCCGCGUGGGGGAUGACGGCCUUCGGGUUGUAAACUCAUUUCGCUAGGGACGAAGCUUUUUGUGACGGUACCUAGAUAAGAAGCACCGGCUAACUACGUG
rnacentral:rRNA from 1 species